rnacentral:rRNA from 1 species
GACGAACGCUGGCGGCGUGCCUAAUACAUGCAAGUCGAACGCUGAAGAGAGGAGCUUGCUCUUCUUGGAUGAGUUGCGCACGGGUGAGUAACGCGUAGGUAACCUGCCUUGUAGCGGGGGAUAACUAUUGGAAACGAUAGCUAAUACCGCAUAACAAUGGAUGACACAUGUCAUUUAUUUGAAAGGGGCAAUUGCUCCACUACAAGAUGGACCUGCGUUGUAUUAGCUAGUAGGUGAGGUAAUGGCUCACCUAGGCGACGAUACAUAGCCGACCUGAGAGGGUGAUCGGCCACACUGGGACUGAGACACGGCCCAGACUCCUACGGGAGGCAGCAGGAGGGAAACUUCGGCAAUGGGGGCAACCCUGACCGAGCAACGCCGCGUGAGGGAAGAAGGGUUUCGGAUCGUAAAGGUCUGUUGUAAGUCAAGAACGGGUGUGAGAGUGGAAAGUUCACACUGUGACGGUAGCUUACCAGAAAGGGACGGCUAACUACGUG